ensembl:antisense 9430073C21Rik Riken cDNA 9430073C21 gene
GCUGUCUGAAUGGCCUGGAAUCUUCUCUCUUAGCUAAGGUUGCAUGAUUGAGACUGAGCCCCCAGGGUCUUGUUUUGCAGAUUGCCAUGUGUGAACGUAGGUAUCUAGAGAUGCAGAUCACGAUGGUCAUAUGAUUUCACUACUGCAAGGGACUCUGUGACCCUCAUCCUUCUAACAAAGCAACCAAGCUCAAAGAAGAGAGGACCAUCUACUCUCAGAGGAGAGUCACACAGUGGUUUGGACUGUGAGCUAAUUGAUCUGUAGCCCAGCACUCCGGAUGGUGACACUCUAUCUAGAGCAGAUUGAAGACACCAAGAAGGGUCUUGAAGAACUUUGCAUCCGCCGGGAGCUUCCUAGACAGUUACUAGCUGCUUUGCUCCCUCAGGAUGGAAUAGAAUCACACAGGCGCAUGACCAAAGGCUUCACAUUUUGUGCCUCGCUUCGGUCAUUCCACAGCAUCGGGACUGCCUUACUCUUCGCUUAUGAUUUUGGUGUGAACCUCCCGGCUCUUCACCCGCAGCUUGUUGACCUGGGACUCAGCAAUGUCAGCCCGCUCCUCAGCUUCCUCCAGCUCGUGCUGGAUCUUGCGGAACUUGGAUAGAUUUGUGUUGGAUUGUUCCUCCUGAGAAUAAGAAUGGGAUUCUAUUAAACCCGUGCUGUAAUCUUUCUAAGCUUUGUAGACUGGCAGAAACAGCGCUUGGUAUGAAUAGAGAAGUAAAAUCUUGCCCUUUCUAAGAUUCUUGCUUCCCACUGAAACUGUUUUAUGAUUAGGGAUUGGUGUCUCAAAAUUAUCACAUCACAAAUUUUGCAAACAAAACGUAAUUUUGGAAGAAUCUUAUUUGAUUGUAUCUGUGUAUUAUGUAUGUAUGUAUGUAUGUAUGUAUGUCUUCAUGUGUGUAUGCAGACCCUCUUGAUGAACAGAAGAGGGCGCUGGAAAGCCUGGAGCUACAGUUGAAUGUUGUUGUUAGCUGCCUGGAGUGGGUGCUGGGAACCAAACUCAGAUCCUCCGAAGAGCCACAAGUACUCUUAAUGGCUGAACCACCUCUCCAUCCUCAACAACCAAAUUAUCUGAAUGGAUAUAUGCCAUGAAUAAAGCAAAAGGAGACAAAAAGAUCAGAGAAACAAGAAUAUAAAUAAAUAAAUAAAUAAAUAAAUAAAUAAAUAAAUAAGACUAGGUGGUUAAUGCUUGCUUUUAGGUAAUGACAGUUAACUGAAGUUAAUUAUUCCUCGUCAUAGUAAGCAUGAUUUCAUAAUCAUAUAAAACAUGAAAAAUGUCCAUUGAAUUUGACCAUAGGUUAUUUUGACGUAAAAUGAUUAUUUCUGCUGCUUUUGAUAUAACGAUUGUAUUGACAGAUUCUCGAAUAAGGCAUCUUCACAUUGGAGGAUUUAAGCCUAUUUCCUCACGGAUAGACAAGCCCUUAGGAUAAGUAAGGGUUUCAGUGUUUAGCAAUGUGUCCCUGCCGUGGCAGCAGUCCUGGGGAAGGCUGCCCUCGCUUCUUCCCCUGUCCUCCCUUGGACCGGUUUUGGUAUGAGGGUUAUGCGAGCUUUGUAAUGUGAAUUGGAAGGCUUUGCCUCUUUCCCAUGCUCUUGAACUGCUUACAUAGCUGGGGAUUAUCUGUUCCUUGAAAUUUUGACAGAACUAUCUGGACCUGGGUCCUUUUCAACAGUAAUUCUGAAGUAAGUUUUUAGCCCAGCUUGGUAACGCACAUUCUCCUGGGAAAAACAAAAGAUCAGAAUCUUUGUGACUUCAGCUCUUUGAACUGCUAUACACAUUACACUAAAAACACUGCUCUAUGUGCAAGACCUGUCUCCCUUUAUAUUCCUUUGGCGCUAUUUGUAUGUCUCUAAUUUUUUCGUUAAACUAGCUAUAUUAUAUUUGCUUCAUUGAUUCUCCAGAAGGUAUCAGGCAUUACUAAAAUGUCAUGUUACAAAAUAAUAUUCUCUAACCGAUUCAUUUCUUUUCUUGGCUUCAUUGCAUUAUGAGUAUUAAUCUCUAAAUUAGAUAUAAAUGUAUUCAUUUAUUUUUAAUUUGAUUCAUACUAAAAGCCUAUAAAAACCAUUGCUUUAUAGGCAUUAUUAAUCCUCUACACAAUUUGGCUACAUUCCAUAUAUCUGUAAAAGUCAAAUCUUCCUUUUAUUAUUGUUUAUAAUAAAUAACAAUCUGGUAAUCACACGUUUCC